rnacentral:misc_RNA from 1 species
UACGAACGGUGCGAACGUUAUUCGGAAUCACUGGGCGUACAGGGUGCGUAGGCGGCGCUUUAAGUCAGGUGUGAAAGCCCCCGGCUCAACCGGGGAAUUGCGCUUGAGACUGAAGUGCUUGAGUGAGGCAGGGGUGUGUGGAACUUCCAGUGGAGCGGUGAAAUGUGUUGAUAUUGGAAGGAACGCCGGUGGCGAAAGCGGCACACUGGGCCUUGUCUGACGCUGAGGCACGAAAGCCAGGGGAGCAAACAGG